AGAAAUAAUUAAUAAUAAAAGGAUCUCUCAUUGUGCAAUAUUUGUGUGAUGACAUAGGGUGAUAGUAUAUAGAUGAUUGUACUGAGAUUUCUUCUUGCAGGACGUAAUAAACACAGGAUGCUUAAACAGACUAGCAGACCUGGUGUAAGUAUAUUAAAAAAAUCCUUACGUAAACGGUAUUCCGACAAUUGGGAAGUUAGUAUCGUUUAUCAAUUAACAAUAAACAUGAUAAAGCAACGAGAUGAUUCCAGUAAAUAAACCUUUUUUUACCCCGAUUUAAUUUCCGUCUAGCUGCAAAUCGUGAAAAUAAAUUAAAUGUUUCCGCAUAAAAAAACUUUAAAAAAUAAAUGGUCCAAUUCUCAACAAGUACAUUGUACUUAUUUCUAUCUCUAUGGGUAGAAUCCGUUUGAAAAUAUUUGCUUCUAUCCCCGUGUGUAUUUGGUUAAUUGAUAAAAUGGUAUAUUGUUAUUUAUACAGUCACCUAGAAAGCUAGGAUUUAGAUACAGUUUGUGUCGUUUUGCCAUGCGUUGACCUCAAACAUUUUUACAGGUAUACUAAUAUAAUCACCAUGUUUUUCUCUGCGGUAGAAAUAUCAAUUAAAUACUGGUUCGAAUGUUUUAUGUGUUUGAAAAAAAAAAAAAAAAUACCCGCACCGUUACUGGCAUUAGCAUUGAGAUUAUAAAGUCAAAGACUCAAGUACGUACUGAGUGCCCAGCGCUUUGCAACAACUAUUUAGGGGACAUGAUGUGAUAUAAUUUGUCUCCAUACAACAAACUCAACUUCUUAUUUAGUAUUGUAAAAGUCGUCUUUGGAAUUUUCAAAAUCCAAAUAGAUAUUUGAAAUCCGUAAUAGCGACUGCAAUAAACAUUCUAAAGUCACGCAGGUUAAUACAACAGUCCGGAAGUGGACAGAGUUUUAACGAGAUACCUGUAGGGCUGUAUGUAUAUAGUAAGACACCCAAAUGCAGGAUAAAGAAAGUUCGGAAGAGGGUGUCCCCCUAUUAGUGGGUGCUGCAGGUAAUACUCGGUAUGAGGAAAAAGUUGACAAGAUAUAACAUCGAGUUGGUGACUGACAAAAAUCCUUGGUCGGAUAUUUUAGGUUAGCUUAUGUCAUCUGUUUCUUUGUUUCUGAAUGUAGCUGAAUUUAAAAGUUAAUUGCCUUAAAUUGUUAAACAGUUUAUGAUCCAAGAGAUACGUUGUAUGCCUAAUGAAACUGCUUUUAUGUCAUGACCUUCUAGACAAGACAUUAACCUAGCAUGGGAAAGACAGCAAAGGGAGUACACUGUCACGGUUAUGCUGUGUUAUGACGAUAAGUUAAAAACUUCAGUCAUUGAGAACGCACAUAAACCAAGAUGUUUUCGAAACUAAUAUGACUGGGAAGGCUAACGUAUUUUCACUGAAUGGGAAAGUUUAACUCUCGGGAUAUGCGGAUGAAAUCUAGACACAUUGUUAUUUUUCUUGAAAAUGCAUCUUUUUUUGUCGCACAAUUAAAGACUUAGUAAUGCCGAAUCGAAGUCCUUUCCGGCAAAUUCGAUUUCUAAACUACAGCCCUUGAUUUGAGUAUCAUUUGUGACUUUAGAAAGCACAUUUUUAAACAUACAUGUAUACCGCACAAAGUUACAAUUGUUUAAGGACUGAAAUUUGCAAAGAAAUAAACGUUUUCAAUGAAUUCAUGUGAUGUCACGGCAAUAUAACAAAUCCACCACAAUUGAAUUAUGCUGUCGUGAUGCGGGAUUUACUUUAGAGGCUGUGUCGAGUCUUUCGAACCGAUGAUGAAAUAGCGUUAGCUGAUUCAGUGCAACAGUUAAGGUCAUCUGACUCGAGUGUGCAAUAAUGCGGAUGUUAAUGACAAUUUCGCCACGGAAUCAGGGUUAGACAAAUUUGUUAAUAUACGUGUGAUCCGUAAUCAGACAAUGAUGUAGAAACAGAGAUUUCAACACAGGUUUGGACUUAUCAACAAAGUUGCAUUUUUCUUUUUCUAUUUCUAAGGAUAGUCGCUACUUAGAAAUAAAUCCAAUGACAGAAUAUAUUAUAAAAUAUAAAAAUGUUAUUAUAUUUAAAACGAUUUAAGUUUUAGUUUUUACCGCUUUAUCUUACUGUUGAUUUUUAUUUGUAAAUAAUCAAUUUGCUUUAAUCUAGAAUUUUAGUUAAUUGAAGGACCUUUUGUCUGUCUGAUUACGGAUCACACAGAUCACACGUUUAAAAUAUGCUUUAAAUUGUAAAAAUAUUCGAAUAAGCUCUUGCGCGAUAUCAGCUUUUUUUGUGCUAAUACGCAAAGCAAACAACAACCAAUCAAUUAAUCAAAUGACCGAUGACGUCAUUGUGAAAUGUAAACUAGCUACAAGUCAGACAUCAAUGGAUUAUUAUUUCUCUCUGAAAUGAAAUAGAUAAACAGUUUUGAACUUGCACUUGAUAAUUACAAUUAAAGUAAUAUUUUUCUGCAUCUAUGAAUAAACUCAUCAUAAAUACCAGGAUUGAGAUUUAUUAUUUGUGCGUUUCAUCUACAAAAACUCAUCAGUGACACUCAAAUGAAGAAAAAAUAAAAAAGGUCAAAAUAAAGUAGGAAGUUAAAGAGUAUGGAGGACCAACAAUUCCUAAAAUUUCAUUUUAAUAUAUUUUAUUUUUAUUUUAUUUUACAUUAAAAAUACUUAUAAUCUGUUGUAUUACUUUGGUUCGUCCUCUGUGUCAAAGCGAUUUUAAACUGUCAAUUUCCGUUUACCUCUACAAUCUAUUGUCCUAUAGGUUCUAGGUGUGGACAGGUUUCUCUACAUAAACAACUAUUAUACACUUAGAAGGGUUUAAAAAUUACACCCAUUAGAGGGCCAAAGGCAUGACAAUUACAUGUCAUAACACCAAUAUAAUGAUGACAAUAAAAUUUACAUAAAAAUUAAAAAUAGACCAAAACAUUGCACACAACAAAUGACCUCAAGUGCCCCUGUCUUCAGUUCCAUAGACUGAUUAAUAAAGGCGCCUUAAGAUUUUACUUUAUGACUAGAGAUUGGAAUUAAUAUAUAUUUUAUUUUAUUAUCAGAAACAUCUUUGUAUUGAGUUUUAAUCACUUAAAAUGACGGGUCUUAAAUCUUCAUUUAUUUUACAUAAUAAAAACAUUCAUCAUCAAGAACAUUGUACUUGCAACAAAGACUAGGGGAUGUCACAUCAAAUUUUUGUGUAUGUUCAUUUUUUAUUUUAUAUGGUUGAACUAAAGAAGUUCGCUAUUUUGGUCGAGAGAUGAUAUUUUAAUGUCAUAUAUUUUUUCUAUGUCUUUGCUGAAAUUCAUUUUUAUAGUAUUUUUUACCGAAAUUCUUAGACUGCAUUUUUGUUUUUUGGUUACAUCUUUGGGUUGGCUAGUAUUAUUAUCGGACCUAACAUGAUUUACAUAUGUGUACCAUGAGUGUAUAUCUUAAUCAUAAAGUGAUUUAGAGAGAGAUAAUCUGACUCAUGGUAAUUGCACAUCAAUAACGACGCUCUUCGCAUUUAAGAAGCAUAGUGUCGUUUAUUUUUAUCACGUUAUAUUAGUAUUGAUUUUUAUUUAAAAACUAAAAAAAAAAAAUACGUUAGACUGGAUGUUUAGUUUAUGUAAUGACCUUUUGCCUGACUUUAAAAUAUACUUUAAACUGACAAAGUAUUUGAAUUGGCUACUGCCGCUAUUUAUCCAUUUUGAGCUCAUGUGGCUUAAAGCAAACACCAAUCAAUCUAUCUUAAAUUAUUCAAAAAAUUGUACGGUCUCAGUUUUCUUAACGUACAUAAAUUAAUUAAAUAACCUUUGUGUAUACAUGUGUACUUCAAACAUCAGUUGUUGUGAUAAUUAUACUCAAAGUAAUUCGUAUUACAAUAUAAUAUUUGAAAGUUAUUUUCUUCUUUUAAAUCGAAGGCACAUAAGGCGACAACAAAACGUGUCUCUAUAUUUAAUUGUAGAUGAAAAAUACACAAUUUGAAAUGUCUAUAAAUUUACUCGUUUAUCAUACAUGAUAUGCAAUUCGGUAGUAGUGGCAUUAAGGCCUGGUUUUGGCCCAAGAAAAUAAAAUGUUUGAUAACUUUUUCAAAUUGGAACAUAAUCUUUAGAAAUGCAUAGGGUCAAGAAAUAUAAAUGAAAAACAUUAAGAUUCUUAUGUGAUGACGUCACAAUUACGUCAUAAUAUAUACUGUUUUUAGCUCACCUGUCCCGAAGGGACAAGUGAGCUUAUGCCAUCACUUGGCGUCCGUCGUCGUCCGUCGUCUGUCGUCUGUCGUCGUCUGUCGUCGUAAACUAUUUCAAGAAUAUUCUCCUCUGAAACUACUGGGCCAAAUACUUUCAAACUUUAACUGAAUGUUCCUUAGGGUAUCUAAUUUAUAAAUUGUAUCCGAAGUUUUGAUCUAUCAACAAACAUGGUCGCCAUUGCUAAAAAUAGAACAUAGGGGUCAAAUGCAGUUUUUGGCUUAUAAAUCAAAAACCAAAGCAUUUAGAGCAAAUUUGACUGGGGUAAUAUUGUUUAUCAGGUCAAGAUCUAUCUGCCCUGAAAUUUUCAGAUGAAUCAGACAACCUGUUGUUGGGUUGCUGCCCCUCAAUUGGUAAUUUUAAGGAAAUUUUGCUGUUUUUGGUUAUUAUCUUGAAUAUUAUUAUAGAUAGAGAUAAACUGUAAACAGCAAUAAUGUUCAGCAAAGUAAGAUUUACAAAUAAGUCAAUAUGACGGAAAUGGUCAGUUGACCCCUUUAGGAGUUAUUGCCCCUUAUAGUCAAUUUUUAACCAUUUUUCGUAAAUCUUAGUAAUCUUUUACAAAAAUCUUCUCUUCUGAAACUACUGGGCCAAAUACUUCCAACUUUAACUGAAUGUUCCUUAGGGUAUCUAGUUUUGUAAAUUGUAUCCGAAGUUGUGAUCUAUCAACAAACAUGGUCGCCAUUGCUAAAAAUAGAACAUAGGGGUCAAAUGCAGUUUUGGCUUAUAACUCAAAAACCAAAGCAUUUAGAGCAAAUCUGACAUGGGAUAAUAUUGUUUAUCAGGUCAAGAUCUAUCUGCCCUGAAAUUUUCAGAUGAAUCAGACAACCUGUGUUGGGUUUACUGCCCCUGAAUUGGUAAUUUUAAAGAAAUUUUGCUGUUUUUGGUUAUUAUCUUGAAUAUUAUUAUAGAUAGAGAUAAACUGUAAACAGCAAUAAUGUUCAGCAAAGUAAGAUUUACAAAUAAGUCAACAUGACGGAAAAUGGUCAGUUGACCCCUUUAGGAGUUUAUUGCCCUUUAUAGUCAAUUUUUAACCAUUUUUCGUAAAUCUUAGUAAUCUUUUACAAAAAUCUUCUCUUCUGAAACUACUGGGCCAAAUACUUCCCAACUUUAACUGAAUGUUCCUUAGGGUAUCUAGUUUGUAAAUUGUAUCCGAAGUUGUGAUCUAUCAACAAACAUGGUCGCCAUUGCUAAAAAUAGAACAUAGGGGUCAAAUGCAGUUUUUGGCUUAUAACUCAAAAACCAAAGCAUUUAGAGCAAAUCUGACGGGAUAAUAUUGUUUAUCAGGUCAAGAUCUAUUUGCCCUGAAAUUUUCAGAUGAAUCAGACAACUGUUGUUGGGUUACUCCCCUGAAUUGUAAUUUUAAAGAAAUUUUGCUGUUUUUGGUUAUUAUCUUGAAUAUUAUUAUAGAUGAGAUAAACUGUAAACAGCAAUAAUGUUCAGCAAAGUAAGAUUUACAAAUAAGUCAACAUGACGGAAAUGGUCAGUUGACCCCUUAGGAGUUAUUGCCCUUUAUAGUCAAUUUUUUAACCAUUUUUCGUAAAUCUUAGUAAUCUUUUACAAAAAUCUUCUCCUCUGAAACUACUGGGCCAAAUACUUCCAAACUUUAACUGAAUGUUCCUUAGGGUAUCUAGUUUGUAAAUUGUAUCCGAAGUUAUGAUCUAUCAACAAAACAUGGUCGCCAUUGCUAAAAAUAGAACAUAGGGUCAAAAUGCAGUUUUUGCUUAUAACUCAAAAACCAAAGCAUUUAGAGCAAAUCUGACGUUGGGUAAGAUUGUUUAUCAGGUCAAGAUCUAUCUGCCCUGAAAUUUUCAGAUGAAUCAGACAACCUGUUGUUGGGUUGCUGCCCCUGAAUUGAUAAUUUUAAGGAAAUUUUGCUGUUUUUGUUUAUUAUCUUGAAUAUAAUUAUAGAUAGAAAUAAACUGUAAACAGCAAUAAUGUUCAGCAAAGUAAGAUCUUCAAUUAAGUCAAUUUGACCAAAAUUGUCAAUUGACCCCUUAAGGAGUUAUUGCCCUUUAAAGACUUUUUUCACAAUUUGUUCAUCAUGUUGACUUACUUUAAAAAAUCUUCUCCUUUGAAACUGCUGUAUCAAUUUCAGCCAAACUUAGGCUAAAUGAGUUUCAGAGUAUCUAGUAUAAAUUUUAUAUUUUAUUUCCUUGUAUGUCAAGAACAUAGGAGAAAAUUAUAAUUUUUUUUGGCUUUUGAAGAAAAUAGAACGAUCCAAAAAACAUUUAAAUAAUUGAAAAGCCAAAAUAAUCAUUGAUGAGAGAUUUAACCAAAAGAAUUAAGGUGGGCGAUUAAGGCUCUUGAGAGCCUCUUGUUACAAAAACGAUGAAAAUUCAGAAUUUAUGCAGUUUUCUAUAUUUAUUUCUGUUUCAUCAAAUUUUUAAGUAUAUUUUCGAUUGGAAAAGUAUGUGCGCAGCCAAGAAACAACAAAAUAAUUUAACUGAAGCUUUAUCAUUACUAUUGACAAAUCUCACCAAAUAUAAAGUUGUUUCUUGGGUGCGCACAUACUUUUCCAAUCGAAAAUAUACUUAAAAAUUUGAUGAAAAACAAGGAAAAUCACAAAAUUUUACAAAAUAUGCCAAUUAAGAUAAGACAUGAUUUGUUGUCAUGGUAACUUGUUUAAUGUCCAAAAUUAUUUUGUUUUUCUGAAUACCUUCUACCUGAGAUACUUUUCAGUAAUUUUAAAAUAUGUAUGAUAACUUUUAAAUUUGCAGUAAUUUUUGGGCCAAAUAAGGGCCUUAUUGCCCCUACUCCUUUCCAAAUCACUGUCUUGUAAAGCAGUUAUUAAUCCUAAAUCUUAUAUAGCAUGUCGAAUAUACUUUACGAUCUUUAUUGAUACCAAAAUAGUCACUAGACGAUAGCUAAUGGCAUUCAUUCUGUAUAUACAUCCCACACGAUUGUUAAUAGUUACAUAACAUUGAUUUUUAUUGAUCAUCUAUCUAAAUGAAAAUUCCCAAGUUAAAUAUAGAAAAUUAAAUUUUGUCGACAGAAUGUUAUAAAAGGAUGCGAUAGACGUUAUUAUGCAUUACAAAUAAACAAGUCUGUUACGAUGAUUAUUGCUUUUACAAAUAUGUAUACUUCAUAUAUUACUGGUAAGUCUUUAUUCUAUAUUGUAUUCAUCAAUCACGAUUGUGUUUGUAUAACGUGACUUUUGCAUCAAAGAACAAAUCAAAAUAGGGGCGAGAGAUACCAAAGGGACAGUCUGUCUGGCGACAGAAGAAGAAACAAAUUUUAUGCCAUUGUAAACUAUUUUGUAUGGCUUUAAAUAAAAUACUAAAACCAUAACUCGCGGAUAAUUGUUUUUUUUUCUAAAUGUUUUUAUUUUUUCUAUUUUAUUAAAUCUUCUGUAAUUUAAAUUUUCGAAGUUAUCUCAAUAUCAAACUAGGGAAAAUAUAAACAAUAAAGGGUGAGCAUCUAUUUAACAUUUACCAGAAGGUUUUAGAAGCUGCCACAAAAAAUAAUGAACUUUAACAGUAUCUGAAUUCUGAUUUAAAAUAAAAACUCUUCGAAGAAGAAAAUUUUAUACGCAAGUUUUUUGACUGGCAAACCUGGCUCCAUAAAGUAAAAUUUGCGAACAUAUCUUUUACAUCCCAGAGUUUGCAGGUGACUAGAAAUACAAAGAGUCGUGGUCUUGUGGAAUAUAAGGAUACACGUUAAUGCGUAUCUGUUGUAUCUAUUUCAAUCGCUUCAAAAGUGCACUUUAUCAUGAUGAUGUUACAUUGGCCUUCAACAUUUUUGUUUAUCCCAGCCAUCAUGUUAUCAUUAUGUCGAUUUAUAAUAUUCUAUGUUUAUAACGGCUAAACUCCAAAUGAGCACUAUAUUAUAAUACAACAUCCUGUUAGUCUAAUUUUAUGUUUAAACCGCACACCUUAAAGUGAGUACCGAAAAUGACUGAUUUUUCAUUUGAUGACUUUUAUGUGUCUAUGGUAAAUGAUAUUCUUAAACAUAAAUACUGCACAAAAAGUCCUGAUUUUACAAAUAAGGGGUUGUUUGAUCAGACAGCUUCCAUCAAAAGCAAAAUUACAACGGUAAAAUCCGCUCCACGUCUCCUUUCGGCCUAACUAGAAGAGAAGGAAUACAUGUAAAGAAAUUCUCGAUGAUAAACCCAUGAUAGCUAGCAAGAUGAGAAAUUAUCAUAAGAAAACCAAUUCUGAAUAUGCGUACACACUCAUAAUAAUUGUGCACUAAGAUGGUUAUAUAUAUAAAUAAGUGAAAUAAGAUUUUUUUCGUGCAGGACGUAAAGAACAGAGGGUGCUAUAACAGACUAGCAGACCUGGUGUAAGUAUUUAAAAAAUAAUCCUUACUUUAAUUGUACUCAUUCAAUAGACAACUUUCGAGUUCGAUGCAUUUCUGUCAAAAACUCUGGUUUAAGUGAACAUCAUUCGUACGUUUAGGGGCAUCGUCACUUCCAUUCCAAUGUUGAGCAAGUGGUUGAGAAACUAUAAUGUUAUAUUACAUGAAUUAUUCGGAAAAAUUAAAUUCUCAUAAUAGACAAUCAGCACUGCUGUCAUUUGGGAAUUGUAAUUAAGUACUCACAAACAGAUAGUAUUUGUAGUUUAUCCUGCACAAUGACGAUCCCUGAGACGCUUGAUGAACGUUAAUAGUGCAGGGAUACAGGCGACUCCCUCUAUCUGGUAAAUAACGUCAUAAAGGCGCGCAUAAUUGACGAUUUUUUUACCGGAUGAACUCAAAAGUGGUCUAGUGUGACGUGAUCGAUUAUAAAUCAACAACACAGCAACGAGUUGUUUCCGGUAAUCGGAUCUACUUUACCUCAAUUCAAUUUCGGUCUAAUUGCAAAGUCGUGAAAAUCAUUAAAUGUUUUUCGCAUAAAAAACUUUCCCCAAAUUUUUUUUUUAUUUAUUUUAUUUGUAUUUGACUUCAACCUCAACAAGUAUUAUUUUUUUGUCUGGAUGCAGUAUCUUUUGUUUCUAUUAAAGUUGUUAUUAGUUUUAUGGUAUAUAGUUAAUUAUUUUCCUGAAACGUAGGAUUUAGAUAAAAUUUGUGUCGUUUUGUCCUGCUUUCACCUCAAAUUUUUAUACAAGCAUAUUAAUAUUAUCACCAUGUUUUUCCCUCCGGUAGAAAUAUCCAUUAAAUACAGGUUCGAAUAUUUGAUAUUACCCCCACCGUUAGCAUUGGGAUUAUAAAGUCAAAGACUCAAGUAAGUACUGAGUGCCAUGCGCUUUGAAGACGAAGCGCGCGUCUGGUGUAUAUAUACUAAAUUUAGUCCUGGUAUCUUUAAUGAGUUUAUUUACAACCACUGGGUCGAUGCCACUGCUGGUGGAAAUUUAUUUCCCAGAGGGUAUUACAAGCCCAAUAGUCAGCACUUUUUGUGGUGAGAUGAAUUAUCAUUGAUAUGGUUAUAUUUAUAAAUUUACUGUUUACAAAUUUUUGUUUUUUGUUUUAAAUACUAAGGCUUCUCUACGUCAGGCAUAGAUUACCUUAGUUGUAUUUGGCAAAACCUUUAGGAAUUUUGGUUCUCAAUGCUCUUCAACUUCGUACUUUAUUUGGCCUUUUUAACUUUUUUGGAUUCGAGCUCACUGAUGAUCUUUUUGUAGACGAAACGCGCGUCUGGCGUAUAUACUAAAUUUAGUCCUGGUUUCUAUAAUGAGUUUAUUUGCAACAACUAAUUAAUGGACAUGAUGCGAUAUCAUUUGUCUCCAUACAACAAACUCCACUUCUCCUGUAGUAAUAUAAAAGUCCCCCUUGGAAAUUUUAAGUAUAAUCAAGCUGAAAUAUAUCCCUGAAAAAACAUCUGAUUUUUCAACAGUUUAUAUUUCUAUGAGUUCCGAGGCUUUUGAAAUUAAAUCAAAACUAGCUAGCUUUUACUAUAUUUAUGUACAGAAAAGAUCGAUGUAUUAAUUCUAGAUCGCGUAGAAUAACAUAAUUAUGAAUAUCUUUAAAAAAAAACUGAAAAAGAACCACGAUGCAACUGAAAAUGCACUAUUAGAUAUGAUUUAUUGUAUUGACUUUGCUAAUAUUGGUAGGAAGCAUUUCAAUGUCAAUAAUGUGAUUUAUUUGAUAGCUUUCGCUUAAUUUUGUUUCAUUCUUAAAAAAAUAUGUUAUAAAAUAUAAAGAUGUCGUAUAAAUUGAAUACUAUUUUAAUUUUUACCACGUUAUCUUAGUGUUGAAUUUUAUUUGUAAAUAAUCAAUUUUCUUUAGUCUAGAAUUUUUUGUUUAUUGAAGGACUUUUUGUCUGAUUUCAAUCUAACUGAAAAUUGAAAAAAAAUAUUUCAAUAAGCCCUCGACGCGAUAUAACAUUUUUGUGUUAAUGCAGCGUAAAGUAAACAGCAAUCAAUCAACCAAUACAAAUAGGGCGAUAACAUAACGUAUCUUUUUAUUUAAUUUUAUAUGAAAAAAAAAAUUUUAAAUGUAUUUAAAUUUAAGUUGACAUUUACCAAAAAUUGAUUGAUAAACAAAAGGACAUUUAUUUCAUUUACAUGUUAUGCACUAUUUUUUAUUAUCAGCAAUGACAGCUUUUAGUUUUUAGCAGUUUAAACGUAAAAAUAUACUGAAGAUAUUUUCUUUUUCCUACGUCGUUCUUUUAUAUAAAAAAACAAAAAAAAAACUCAGAUUUAUGAAAAAAUGAAAUGGCAUUUUACCACAAAUUUGUAUUAAUAUAUCAAUGAUUGAUUUAUUGAUUGUUGGUUGCUUAACUUCCAGUGGCAAUAUUUCAUGCAUGCUCAGGACGAGAACAAGUUAACAAUAAAUACAAUAGGUAGGUCUUGUCGUAAAAAAGGCCAUUCAGGAUGGUGGUCGCGAAAUUUGGACUGCCACUGGAAAAUGAGGGUAUGUUGGAUAGGGUCAGAAAUUUUGCCUGGCAACAGGCCACCUACGAUCCUCUCAAAGAGUUGUUGCAAGGCUUUUUAACGUGCAAAGAGCGUGGCACUCUCUUCACACGAGUCAUCUGAUUUAACGUCCACAAUUCUGACCGGACGUGAAUGCGAACUUGAUACUUCCCGCACUGCCAAACGGAUGCCCCACUUCGGAAAGCGUUUUACUGCCGGUCGGGAGAAGACCAAGUGACCAUAUUUCGUUUCCCCAGUCACCCUUGUGGGUUAAUAUAAUGAUGUGAGAGGGAAAUGCAAUUGUAAUAUUGAAUCCUCUGAAUUAUUUUAAAAAAUGUACUAACUUUGUAUUAAGUUUUAUUCGUUAUCUUUUUCUCUUAUGAUUUGUUUGUAUCUAUUUUCUUUAAUCAUAAAUGAUGUGCGAUUAGGUAUAUUUCUCCAGAUCCCCGUCUUGUAAAGCGGUUAUACAUUUGUUCAUUAAAUCACUACCGUGUUUACAUAUAAAUUAUAAUACCUGUGUCGAUCCUAAUUUUAGAAAUCGCCUUAAUUUGUUAACAUAUUUGAAUUAGAUAUCUUGCGAUAAAGCCUUUUUCCGCUAAGGCGACGUAAAGCAAAUACGAGCCAAUAAAUCAAGUUUUUGCCGAAAGAACCAAAGAUGGAGACAGUUAAUUAUGUGUUUGUUGAAAUAAUGAAUUUGUUGUAUUAGUUAGAUUGUCUGAUUUUUUAAAAAGGAAAACAUCUUGUUAUUAUAUUUAAAAAGCUCACACCGCGAUGAAGCCCUAAUGUACUUGCAUGGUUUUUUAUGAUAAACUAUAUAUCUGAUGCAGCUUGAAGCAAUUACCAAUCAAUUAAUUCGGUAGUAUUAUAACAUGUAUAAUAUAUCAGCCAGCCUUUAUCAUCAUGUCUGCGCAUUUGCAGAGAAACUGUAUUGAUUAAUUCGGUAGAAUUAUAAUACAUUAGCCUUUAUCAUCAUUCAUGUCUGCGCAUUUGCAGAGAAACUGUAUUGAUUGAAUCAUAGUCUCCGUAUGAUUAUGAAUGAAAUAUUCUUAAUCAAACGUGGAGAAACCAUCAAGUAAUCAGUUAUGAUAGUGCUUAAUUUAACGGAGCCUGUAUUAAAUUAAGUGCAAACGUAAUAUUUUAUCUAACAAUUGCCAUCUUAUUCUAUUUUAGGUUCGAUAUGAACAAAGCAGAAUAAAGUCUCAAUGUAGGACUUUAACACCAUGAAAAUAUUCGUCUGGUGGAGGAACGACGUUUAAAUCAUCGACUAAAUACCUCCACGUUUCACAAGUGUCAUAUUGACUUUGUCAAAGACUUCCUUGGGUUUUUGUAUUUCUAUUUUUAUAUUUAUUUAUUUAUUUAUUAAUGAAAUGCACAUUUAUACCCCUGGGGGUUGAAGCAUAUACAACAAUACAAUACAUACACAAUAAAAAAUUAACAUAUCAAAUAUAUAUAAAGUGGUAAAACAGUAAUAUUUAUGCAGGCGUUGUGUCCACUCC
rnacentral:lncRNA from 1 species